GAGAAAUGCUGGACUAAUCUGC
rnacentral:miRNA from 1 species